rnacentral:rRNA from 1 species
UCAAGCUGUAAAGGGCGCAAGGGGAAUGCCUUGGCACUGAGAGCCGACGAAGGACGCGACAAGCUGCGAUAAGCUACGGGGAGCCGCAAAUGGGCUUUGAUCCGUAGAUUUCCGAAUGGGGAAACCCGGCAGAGCAAUACUCUGUCAACGUGCACUGAAUACAUAGGUGUACGUGGGGAACCGCCUGAACUGAAACAUCUAAGUAGGGCGAGGAAGAGAAAUCAACCGAGAUUCCGCUAGUAGUGGCGAGCGAACGCGGAAGAGGCCAAACCGAAGGUAGCAAUAUCUUCGGGGUUAGGACUGCAAUAUGUAGCUUUCAUUUUUAACCGAAUGCUUUGGGAAGAGCAGCGACACAGGGUGAUAGCCCCGUAGGUGAAAAGAAUGGAGCGCUAGCAGUAUCCAGAGUACCAGCGGACACGUGAAACCCGCUGGGAAGAUGGGGGGACCAUCCUCCAAGCCUAAAUACUACUCAGUGACCGAUAGUGGAGCAGUACCGUGAGGGAAAGGUGAAAAGUACCCCGGGAGGGGAGUGAAAGAGAACCUGAAACCUUGUGCCUACAAGCACCGAGAGCACGUUAAAGUGUGAUCGGGUACUUUUUGUAGAACGGUCCGGCGAGUUAAUAUUUGCAGCGAGGUUAAGUAACUGGAGUUACGGAGCCGUAGCGAGAGCGAGUCUGAAUAGGGCGUAUGAAGUUGCAGGUAUUAGACCCGAAACCGGGUGACCUAUCCAUGAGCAGGCUGAAGCGGUGGUAAGACACCGUGGAGGGCCGCACCCACGUCUGUUGAAAAAGCCGGGGAUGACUUGUGGAUAGCGGAGAAAUUCCAAUCGAACUCGGAGAUAGCUGGUUCUCCCCGAAAUAGCUUUAGGGCUAGCGUUAUUUUAGAUUACCGGAGGUAAAGCACUGAAUGGUCUAGGGGCCGCGAGGUUACCAAAGCCUAUCAAACUCUGAAUGCCGGAUAAUUGAUGAAUAGCAGUCAGACUGUGUGAGAUAAGUCUCAUAGUCAAAAGGGAAACAGCCCAGAUCUACAGCUAAGGUCCCAAAUGAACACUAAGUGGAAAAUGAUGUGAAACUGCGAAGACAACCAGGAUGUUGGCUUAGAAGCAGCCACUCAUUCAAAGAGUGCGUAAUAGCUCACUGGUCGAGUGGUUUUGCGCAGAAAAUGUAACGGGGCUAAGUGUUCAACCGAAGCUUAGGCAUUGCAGUAAUGCAUUGGGUAGGGGAGCGUCGUAUGCGGGGCGAAGUCAGAGCGGAAGCACUGGUGGACUGCAUACGAGUGAGAAUGCCGGAAUAAGUAGCGAGAAUUAUGUGAGAAUCAUAAUGGCCGAAAAUCUAAGGUUUCCUGGGGAAGGUUCGUCCGCCCAGGGUUAGUCGGGAGCUAAGCUCAGGCCGAAAGGCGUAGGCGAUGCACAUACGGUAGAAAUUCCGUAACCACCGAACUUUAAGCUAGAGGGACGCUUUCUUUAAGGUUAUCCCGGGCGAUGGUUGCCCCGGGCGUAAGGGACCGAAAUUUAGUAGGGAAGUAACUGGCGAGAGAGACGAGAAAAGCUCUAGUGUAUACUAAGGUGCCCGUACCGCAAACCGACACAGGUAGAUGGGAUGAGUAUUCUAAGGCCAACGGGAGAAGGGUUGUUAAGGAACUCGGCAAAUUGGCCCCGUAACUUCGGGAUAAGGGGCGCCUGCGAGAGCAGGCCGCAGUGAAAAGGCCCAAGCGACUGUUUAGCAAAAACACAGCUCUCUGCUAAAUCGAAAGAUGACGUAUAGGGGGUGACGCCUGCCCGGUGCUGGAAGGUUAAGGGGAGUGCUUAGCGCAAGCGAAGGUGCGAACUUAAGCCCCAGUAAACGGCGGCCGUAACUAUAACGGUCCUAAGGUAGCGAAAUUCCUUGUCAGGUAAGUUCUG